rnacentral:rRNA from 1 species
GUGGGGAAUAUUGGACAAUGGGCGAAAGCCUGAUCCAGCCAUGCCGCGUGAGUGAUGAAGGCCUUAGGGUUGUAAAGCUCUUUCAGUAGGGAAGAUAAUGACGGUACCUACAGAAGAAGCCCCGGCUAACUUCGUGCCAGCAGCCGCGGUAAUACGAAGGGGGCUAGCGUUGUUCGGAUUUACUGGGCGUAAAGCGCACGUAGGCGGAUCGUUAAGUCGGGGGUGAAAUCCUGGAGCUCAACUCCAGAACUGCCUUCGAUACUGGCGAUCUUGAGUCCGGAAGAGGUGAGUGGAACUCCUAGUGUAGAGGUGGAAUUCGUAGAUAUUAGGAAGAACACCAGUGGCGAAGGCGGCUCACUGGUCCGGUACUGACGCUGAGGUGCGAAAGCGUGGGGAGCAAACAGGAUUAGAAACCCCGGUAGUCC